AAGCCGUAACAAGGUUUCCGUAGGUGAACCUGCGGAAGGAUCAUUCAUAAUAAGUGUUUUAUGGCACUUUUUAAAUCCAUAUCCACCUUGUGUGCAAUGUCGGUCGAUCUUCUUCAUGGAGAUCGACCAAACAUCAACCUUUAUCUUUUAACUCUUUGUCUGAAAAAUAUUAUGAAUAAACAACUCAAAAUACAACUUUCAACAACGGAUCUCUUGGCUCUCGCAUCGAUGAAGAACGCAGCGAAAUGCGAUACGUAAUGUGAAUUGCAGAAUUCAGUGAAUCAUCGAAUCUUUGAACGCAUAUUGCGCUCUUUGGUAUUCCGAAGAGCAUGCUUGUUUGAGUAUCAGUAAACACCUCAAAGCUUUUGGAUUUUUUAAUCGAAAAGCUUUGGACUUGAGCAAUCCCAACACCAAUCUUUUUGAGACCGGUGGCGGGUUGCUUGAAAUGCAGGUGCAGCUGGACAUUCUCCUGAGCUAAAAGCAUAUUCAUUUAGUCCCGUCAAACGGAUUAUUACUUUUGCUGCAGCUAACAUAAAGGGAGUUUGACCGUAUUGGCUGACUGAUGCAGGAUUUCACAAGGGUCGGCAACGAUUCUUGUUAAACUCGAUCUCAAAUCAAGUAAGACUACCCGCUGAACUUA
rnacentral:rRNA from 1 species